rnacentral:rRNA from 1 species
GAUGAACGCUGGCGGCGUGCCUAAUACAUGCAAGUCGAGCGAACAGAUAAGGAGCUUGCUCCUUUGACGUUAGCGGCGGACGGGUGAGUAACAAGUGGGUAACCUACCUAUAAGACUGGGAUAACUUCGGGAAACCGGAGCUAAUACCGGAUAACAUUUGGAACCGCAUGGUUCUAAAGUGAAAGAUGGUUUUGCUAUCACUUAUAGAUGGACCCGCGCCGUAUUAGCUAGUUGGUAAGGUAACGGCUUACCAAGGCAACGAUACGUAGCCGACCUGAGAGGGUGAUCGGCCACACUGGAACUGAGACACGGUCCAGACUCCUACGGGAGGCAGCAGUAGGGAAUCUUCCGCAAUGGGCGAAAGCCUGACGGAGCAACGCCGCGUGAGUGAUGAAGGGUUUCGGCUCGUAAAACUCUGUUAUUAGGGAAGAACAAAUGUGUAAGUAACUGUGCACGUCUUGACGGUACCUAAUCAGAAAGCCACGGCUAACUACGUG